rnacentral:rRNA from 1 species
UCCGGAGGGAGACUAUGUGUGUCUGUGCGGGACUACUACUGCUACAAAUUUCAGAUGCGUCCCGGGAUAUUCAACCCAAUCCUCUAUGGUAAGCGUCUUUUCCAACAGUUUGCGGUAGACACAUACAUCAAGAUAGAGAACUCCCGGUUGGACUAUAUAUGGGGCCAUCAAGAUACGAUAAGGGCGGACCUGCCCUGGUGGACAACUUACAUGUUGGUGAGGGUAGGGCAGAUGCUAUUGGAAAAGUGUUAUCUACAUCUUUUAUCGGUGGUCCACGGGGCAAGAGGCAUCGCUACAUGGAUGCCAUGGCCUUAG